UGUAUAUUGGAUAAAGAAUAAAGCUUUAGGAUUAAUAAAUAAAUCAUCAGUUGAGGAACUUCAGGCAUCAUUAUGACAUCAAGUUAGGAGAGAGGAAUGUUCUGAAUCUCUCAUGGCUCCUCGUGUGCUGAUGUCAUCGUACUCCAUUGGAUAUGCUGGCCUGGCUGGGCAUCUCCCCCGGCAUGUGGUACCACAUUUCAGGACAAGUUUCUCCACCUAUUUAAACCUACGUCCCCUACAAGAUUCCUCCCAUCAAUCAUGAAAAUCACAGUUCUGAUUGCUGGGCCUCCCAGUGAAGUGGCUGAACUAUUUCUACCAGAGGUACAAGGCCUGAAAGAACCUAUCCAAAUAUCAGCUCCGGAUUUCCUCUUCUCCUGCCAGUGGUGUCCUAAAACCAUAUAGAUUGAGAAGACUGAUCAGCUUCCACAGGAUGAGAACGAUGACCAAGAAAUAUGCUGGCAGCCUCUAAGAAAAUAUCGUGUUUUGCGAAGGACUUCUGGGUCUUCAACUUGCAUUCGGGAAUUAAGACUGGACAGCAAAUGCAGUCCGGCUGGAGUGCAGUGGUGCAAUCUCAGCUCACUGCAACCUCCACCUCCCGGGUUCAAGUGAUUCUCCUGCCUCAGCCUCCUGAGUAGCUGGGACUACAGAGCAGCUGUACCCACAGGAAGCACACAUUUGGCUCUACUCCAUUUGACAAGUUUUACAAGUCUAUUUAUCUGUAGGCUGGAGUACAGCGGCACGAUCUCGGCUCACUGCAACCUCCACUUCCCAGGUUCAAGCGAUUCUCCUGCCUCAGCCUCCCGACUAGCUGGGAUUACAGAUGAAAGAUUGACCCUCUAAGAGACCAAACGACGUUGCCAAAGUCUCUCAGAAUGUGGAACAUUCGGGAUACAAAUUCUACACUGGCUGACUCCAGAACAAAUUUCAAAGUGCUUCUUUCAAAAUCCAAAACAAUUUUCAAAAUUUUGAAAAUAUUUCAGUCCUUUAAACACCAGUACCUGGACAUAACUUAGACACUGAAUUUGUGGACAAACAUAGACUGAGAUGAUUUUUAGCAGGUUGGAGACAAUGCCAUAGCUGGUUUCAUACCCAUUCAAAUUUUAUCCACAUUCUAAUUCCUAAGUGUUCAGUUCUGAUUAACUAAAUAGGAGGGGCAACUCCAGUGUUAUUUUACCAAAUAAUAGAUUGAUCUUGGUCCUGACAGAAUAAGCUUCAUGAUAAGUAUCAGGAAGCAUAUCAACAUGAAAAUCACCAAGGAAGAACAAAUGUGGUACAAAAGGGUGCACAUUUUCUGUCACUCCCCUGCCCCUGAACUACAAUUUUCAAAAUACAGACUAUGAAUAUAUCAAUAAUACAGAAAUAAGUCAGAAGUAGGAAAAUUGGCCUGGUUCCUUUAAAGCUCCAAGUUUACCGUCAAGUCUUUAAGUCUUAAUGUCAGUUACUAAAAUCAGUUUCCUCAUUACCUUCAUGCUGCUUCUUGUUUUUAUCACUCUCAUGUACAUUUUAAGAAAAUGUUUAAGAAACUCCUGCCCUCUGUUGGGAACAUUCCCCAUAUACACAGUGUCCCAACAAAAUACAUUUUAAAUGAUUCACACUGGCUUACCAGCCAUCUCUAAACAUUAAUAGUUUGCUUUCCAAAACUCCCUCAUCCACUAAAAUUAAAAAAAAAAACUGAAGUAGCACAAAGCCUACAGAUGAUAGAAAAUACCAGAUAAUUUUCCCCUUCGCUCUAAAAUCAAACGGCGAGAUAUGUAGUUACAUGGAUCCCAGAAAGCAUAUAGCCCAGCAGUCUGCCCCCAGAGCAGUUAAUCACUUAUCAGCCACAACUGACAGACAAGGCCCACAGAAAUUAAAUGUUUUCAAGUUGAAGGAAUAAAUGAAUGAGUGAAAGAAAUGAAGACACAAAUAAGGUUUCUUGUCAACUAGAACACUGUGUCUUUUUCUGCCGUUCCAUAAUAUAUGGAUGUCUGAUAACGCAGACAGGGAAGACUAGAGAUAGUUUUACAAAUAUUUGGAAAUGAGAAAAUUAGACCUGCGAUUUUAUGAUAAAAAUGAACAAACAAGAUUUCCUUUAUGACAUCAUAAGUGCAUUCUGAAAUAAAACAGUAAGAAUUUGAUUGACUUGAAAUAAGACAUCUCUACUAUAUUCUUGAUUUGGAAUAAGGCAGCAACGAUAUAUGAUUUACUUGCCAACAUGUAGAAGGAGUGCUUAGUGCAUUCUGAUUUUCGAACUGUGAUGUUCCUUUGAACCUUUCUCUCUUGAGUUCCAGAGAAAAAACUUCGUGAUAUUUGUCUUAGUGAAUCUAGGGUGACACGGUACUGCAAAUCUACAAAAAUUUUAAAAAAUAAUUGAUGGAAAUGUUUAUUUGAAGUGAUUCUCAUAUUGUACAGAUUAUUAAAUUAGCGUUAUAGAAAAAUCUCUUUGGCAAUCAAUCAAAAAAGAUUCUAUUGUUCAGCAUAUCCACACUGUUAUAACAAUGAUAUUAGCAGUCAUGAAGAUAACCUUGAGGAACUCUAUAGAACUGCUCUCUGAGUUCACUGUGCUUUCAGUGUCUAAUUAAAUUUAUUGUUUAUAAUUCUUAUACACACAUGCACACCUGCCUAUCAUCUAAUUUCCAGGCCACCACUGUAUUUAUUAUAUUUUCACUUAAAACAUUCUUUUUAAGUUUAGAAACGUUGGAACCCUGCUUAGAAUAUUGAUUAUGUUAUAUUUCAAUAGAGACAAAAAUAUACUUUAGUUAUUUGUUUACAAAUAUAUACAUUUUAAUCUAUUUAUAUAUAAAAAGACAUUAUCUCAGCUUAUGUUCAAACCACUAUUAAGGUUCAAUAAAAUAAGCAUACCACAAUAAAGAAAAUAAAUGAAAUCUUACACUGU